rnacentral:rRNA from 1 species
UAGGGAAUCUUCCGCAAUGGACGAAAGUCUGACGGAGCAACGCCGCGUGAGUGAAGAAGGAUUUCGGUUCGUAAAACUCUGUUGUUAGGGAAGAAAAAAUGUAUAGUAACUAUAUACAAAAGAGACGGUACCUAACCAGAAAGCCACGGCUAACUACGUGCCAGCAGCCGCGGUAAUACGUAGGUGGCAAGCGUUGUCCGGAAUUAUUGGGCGUAAAGCGCGCGCAGGUGGUUUAGAAAGUCUGAUGUGAAAGCCCACGGCUCAACCGUGGAGGGUCAUUGGAAACUAAUAAACUUGAGUGCAGGAGAGUAAAGUGGAAUUCCUAGUGUAGCGGUGAAAUGCGUAGAGAUUAGGAGGAACACCGGUGGCGAAAGCGGCUUUUUGGCCUGCAACUGACACUGAGGCGCGAAAGCGUGGGGAGCAAACAGG